GCCCCGAUCGGCCGAGGUCCCGCCGUGGCCCCUGUGGAGUGGUCCCUGUGCCGAGCUGGGCGCCCGGCCUGUCCCAUCCCCUCCCCUCCUCGCCGUCCCCACUCAGCCCCCUGCUCCCACCCUGAGCCAGCUGGGAGCGGGGGAUGCUGUUCACGUCCCUAGGAGCUGCUGCUGCCGCCCAUAGAGGACUCACAGCAGCCUCGUGUCGUCUGUGUGUGCAAGAUUGCAGAGUGCUGGGGAGACUGUUUGGGAUAAAGAGCUGAAAGCUCCACGCUCCCGAGGGAACGCUUUGGGCCCCUGCCGCUUCUGAAGCGCACCGAUAAUCCCGGCUCCCCCAGAAACCUUCCGAAGCUGGAAGAGACAGGCAAGACAACUGCAGGAGGGGUUCAGGAAGCACUUUUUCCCAGGUCUGGACAGCACUGAGAUGGGAAUGACUUCAGAAUAUUCCUCGUGCCUCUCCUGUUGCCAGCCCGGGACUAAGUCAGUCCCUGCGUGUGGUGGGAGGAAGCCUGUGCUGGACAGCGAGAGAAAGGUCCCUGCUGGUUGCUGUGUCCUCGGUGGGCAGAGAACUGUGACCUUGGCCGGAUGGGUCGAGUGAAAAGCUCAGUCAAGAGUGCACGAGUACAAAGCAGGGAGCUCGGAGUGCUCGGUUGCACCCUGCUGCAGCUCCUGGAGGAGCAGGGCCUGGCCAGCACCUUGCGUGAGCUUAUGAAACCCCUGUGCCUAUCAGCAGUGAUGGAAGAGGACGGGACAGGACGGGUGACUCGUCUCGUUCUUAUCGCUCCUGCGACAAGGCAGUGAGUUGUUUUUGUAUUCCUGACUUCCGUUUCCAUCGGGGACACGUGGCUUGGAGCGCAGGAGCCGUAUGUGUUACUCACCCACAUCAGAUUGGUCUGCAGCAGUGCAGGUUAUGAAUUACAGGAUGACUUGGAAACUUGGAAACAGGGAGAAGAAAUGAUUGUGUCUCUUUGCAAAAAAUUUGGCUACAUCAGGGCAUUAAUUCAGGGAAGGAACACUUCAUCUUUAACGUUCUGUGCUCUGCCAUCAUCACUGUGAGCCAUGAAAGCCUCCUGAGCCCUUCUCAUACAAAAAAAAAAAAAAAAAAAAAAAAAAAAUCAGUAUUUUAUUACUGUGUGCAAACUCAGGGGAAAGAUUUUAUUCAGUAUCUCUCAGUGCAACAUUAAAGCUUCAUUUUCUCUACCCUUGAACAGACUGAGACACAAUAUUACUUCUAUCAUCUUUAUUACAGGCAUUUUAAACUUUUUAAAGAACCAGAAAGACUGUUUGUGCACGUGUGUGUGUCAUUAAUAUCCACCCUCUCUCCAUUAGAGGAUGGGGAAAAAAGGCUGCAGAGCUUCCUACCACGGGCUGUAAGUGCAAAUGACGAGGAGCCAGAGGUUUAGUCACGAUGAUUUAUUAUUUCUUAAAGAACCCGGUUGAUUUCAUGAUACCAAAGCCUGUAUAGAAGACUGAACUCGGGACUCAUGAUGGUCUUCUUGUGUUUAAAAAGCUUUAAUGGCUUUGAAAGAUAUUUAUAUCAGACCUGGUACAUUUCUAUUAACUAUUUAAAAUUUAAUUUGGAAAAAAAAAAAAAAAAAAAGCAGCAAAAAGCAGCCCUGUUCCAUCACUGCUGCCACUCUGUGGGACAAAAGCCCGUCUUCCCUCCGCUUGGAACAGGUGAGAGACAGAACUAAACCCCACAGGAUUUUCUGCUUAUCACUUAUACGUGAGUUGUAUUGGGAAUGCUCUGUGAAAUCUGAUAAAUUGUUCUUGAAUGUGGCCCUGAGGGUAGCUGAACAUGCCAGCCCAGAUUUGCAAAGGUGCCGUGCCAGAACGAGAACCUUUGAAAUGUAAACCAGGAUUUAUUCAACUGACUCACGGCUGCGUGCUGUGCCCGUGACCUUUGUAAAAUACUGGACAGGGAAAAAGCAGAAUGGCACAUUCCUUGUGCUAUGUCUUGAAUUCUGGGGAUGGGGUCAAAAAAAAUGAGAUGCAAAUGAGGGAAUUGCUUGUACAUGUAAAUAUUCUUGUCCUAAAGGAGCCAUCCGCUCCGUACCAAGCCUUGAGUUAAAAAUUACAUUUAUUAAAAAACCCCUAAGCCAUUUAGAGGCUACAGUUUGUGUGGUGUAGAAUUCCUAGGGGCUGACGUCAGGAAAUCUGUGAGCCGAAUCUAGCUGAGCUUAGCCAACUUUAGCCAAAUGUAGCCAAGUUCGGUCGAACCGAGCCGAGUUUAACUGAACCGGGCCGAGUGCAGCCGAACCAAGCCGAGCUACGGGGAACGCCACGAGCGGGCACCGAGUCCAGCGGAACCGAUCCGCGGGGAACAGCGCGAGCGGGCACGGAGCGCAGCCGAACCGAGCCGAGCCGAGCCGCGGGGAAUGCGGGAGCGGGCACCGAGUGCAGCCGAGCCCAGCCGAGCUUCCCUGAAGAGGCGAAUCUAAAUGACUGUAUCCGGUAAUAGCUGAGGUGUACCGAGUGCAGGCGAGUUUAGCCUUUAGAGACGAAAAUGGCCGAGGUCUGACGAAAAGAGCCGAGUUUAGCCGGAAAGCCGAACCCACCUGAGUUCAGCCAACUUAUUGAAUGGACUGAGCGUCGCCGCGUUCAGCCGAACCCAAGGAGCUGUGCCAAACCAAGCUGAGGUCAGUGGGUUUCGGUGCCAGAACUGUGGGAAGUGGAAUUGAAGUGGGGCUUCAAAAACAAACGGAACUUGAGCAAAAAGGACAAGGUGCGGACGGAUUUGCUCGGUGGCAGAGGGCCCCAUCCCGGGUGAGAGGGUGUCCCCAGAAGAGGAACUGAAGCGGAGCAGGAGGUGUCACUUUCCACGGAGCUGCCCUCAGCAAGCAGAGGAUGGAUGCGGUUUGCCCGUCUCGUGAGACCUGUGGGGAGCAGUAGAGGAGUGUGUGAUGAUGCCUUGAUGUUUUCCAUUUGAAGGCACCAUCCAGAUCUACCCCAUGACGACGGCAGGGGGCUCGGAGCGUGGCCGAGACGUGCGGGGCGAGGACGUGGGUAUUCUUAGGAGUUGCUGGGCAAGAGACAUCGGCCCGGUGGCGGCAGGACUUUCCCAGAGGGCGAGGUGGCGUUCCUCGGCACCACGGUGGAUGGCGAUCCCCAGACCUCCCAGAGCUAAGUGGAGGGCUCGAGGCACGGGGGGGACGAGAGCAUGGUGCUGGGUGGGAGUUGCUGUGGGGGGAUUACUGAGUCUGGUAUGGAUCUGGAGAUACGCAGCAUGAGAGGGCUUAGGGCACAUGAAGGGCAAGUGUCAUUUUUGCACAGCAUGCCGAGACAAGCUGGGCAGAGCAGUCCCGGGCACGUGGUGUCCGUUGUUCGUUGUGCACUCCGUGUGUGUCGGGCGUGUCAUCUUUCACGUCUUUUGCUGUAGUUCCUCAGGGGUCCUACGGGGAGCCCCGGCAUCACGGUUAGCAUUUCUGAUGUCUGCCCUGCUGGGCCCAGCGGCUUUGACGGGAGAGCUGGGACUUGGAUCUGAAUCUUGCGUCCCUUUAGGCUCCUCCAGUGCGAUGUCUUUUGAGGACUUGUUGUGAGCUGUACGGACAGCCGUGCCCCGCCACGAUCCAUUUUGGUGGGUUAGGACUUGUUAGAAGUCCAAGCUAGGUCUUGGCUUGUGAGCGGAGGAGUGUCGGGCAUCCAUCUUUGUGAUUCUUGAAAUGAUUCAUCUUGUUACCACUGUCUUCCCACAGGGUUCUGUGAGCCUGGCCAGCUCAUCUUGGUUGUUGUUCCGUUUAUCAUCUCCUUCCGAGUUCUCUCGGUCCUCCCGGUCAUUCUUCUUGCGGAGAGGUUUUUGUUGUUGUCGUGUCCCCUGGUUUGUGGUGUCCUGUGUGAUGGAUGUUGUGGCAUCUUUGUCCCGGAGCUGCUCUGCCCUGCCGCAUAGGUGGGUGUAGGGGUAAUAGAAGAAGCCCCUGGGGCCUGAAGUGGGUGAUGUCAGGUGGAGUUGUGGCGUGGAGGGCAUUCGUAGGUUGGCAGCAGGUGUGUGUCGCCGUCAAGUUCCCGUGCCGCAGCGUGACUUUGUUCCGUGUGCGUUUCAGAUGCGGAUGGAUUCGCUCGGUGGCAGAGGGCCCCAUCCCGGGUGAGGGGGUGUCCCCAGAAGAGGAACUGAAGCGGGAUGUCAUCUGUCAAGGUGAAGCGGAGCAGGAGAUGUCACUUUCCACGGAGCUGCCCUCAGCAAGCAGAGGAUGGAUGCAGUUUGCCUGUCUCCUGAGACCUGUGGGGAGCAGAAGAGGAGUGUGUGAUGAAGCCUUGAUAUUUUCCAUUUGAAGGUGCCAUCCAGCCAGGUCCACCCCGUGACGACGGCAGGGGGCUCGGAGCGUGGCCGAGACGUGCGGGGCGAGGACGUGGGUAUUCUUAGGAGACGCUGAGGAAGAGACACCAGCCCGGUGGUGGCAGGACAUUCCCAGAGGGCGAGCGGCGUUCCUUGGCACUGAUGUGGACGGUGAUCACCGGACCUCCCAGAGCUAAGUGGAGGGCUCGAGGCACAGAGGGGAUGAGAGCAGGGUGCUGGGUUGGGAGUUGCUGGGGGGGAUUGAGUUCAGUAUGGAUCUGGAGAUGUGCAGGAUGUGAGUGCUUAGGGCACAUGAAAGGCAAGUGUCAUUUCUGAUUGUAAUGCUGAGACAGGCAGGGCAGAGCAGUCCCGGGCAUAUGGUGUCUGUUGUCCACUCUGUGUGUGUCAGGCAUCUCAUCUUUCACGUCUUUUCCCAUAGCCCCUCAAGGGGCCUGUGGGGAAUCCUGGGAUCACUGUUAGCAUUUCUGAUGUCUGCCUUCCUGGCUCCAGUGGCUUUGACUGGAGAGCUGGGACUUAGAUCUGAACCUCAUCUCUGUUCAGAGUCAUCCAGUGCGAUGUCUUUUGAGGUCUUGUUGUGAGCUGUACAGACAGCCGUGCCCCGCCAUGAUCCAUUUUGGCGGGUUAGGACUUGUUAGAAGUCCAAGCUAGGUCUGGGCUUGUGACCGGAGGAGCGUCGGGCAUCCAUCUUUGUGAUUCUCAGAAGGCAUCAUCUUGUUGGCAUCAUCUUGUUAGCAUCCUCUUCUUGUAGGGUUCUGUGAGCCUGGCCAGCUCACCUUUUUUAUUCCGUUUGUCAUCUCAUUCUGAGUUCUGUCGGUCCUCGCGGUCGUUCUUCUUGCGGUGAGCUUUUUGUUGUUGUGGUGUCCCCUGGUUUGUGGUGUCCGAUGUGACGGGUGUUGGUGUGGCUUUGUCCCGGAGCUGCUCUGCCCUGCCGCAUGGGUGGGUGUAGGGGUAAUAGAAGAAGCCCCUGGGGCCUGAAGUGGGUGAUGUCAGGUGGAGUUGUGGUGUGGAGGGCAUUCUCGGUUGGCAGCAUGUGUCUGUCGCUGUCAAAUUCCCGUGUUGCAGUGUGACUAUUUUCCUGACUUUGUUUCAGAUGCAGAUGGAUUCAAUCCAUGGUAGAGCGCCUCAUCCUGGGUGAGGGGGUUCCUCUGUGAAGGUGUAAGUCACUGUCUUUGCUGGGGUAGUGCAAAUAGUGACUGUGUAAGAGCUUUUUUUUUUCUCUUUACUUUCAGGAAGUGAUGGUCGAUGUCAGCUCUCAAGGUGAAGUGGAGCAGGUGAACCGUGAUUGUUGGAGAGAAGCAGUUGCUAUUGCUGAAGUCUUACUUGAUCAUGCAUGUCUAAGCAUCCCCUUUUGUGUUUUAUGGGGUCUGCUUGCAUGACGCCAUUCUGUCACGAACUAGGUGCUGGUUUCUGUUUGGAAUUUAGUGUGGAGAAUCUUUCUGUGGAGAGUUUUUCUGAUGCAUGGCUGCACAGCAAGGGUCAUGAUACUGUUAAGUCGGUUGGAAUGUAACUAUGUCUAUGUGGUGUACGUGAUGAUUAACAAGGAUAUAAUAUCCUUGAGCACUAGAAUGAUACAACAACAAAGGUGUUGUUAGUACAAAAAUGCUGAAAAAUGCUAGGCUAAGGAACUGAAAAUGCUAGAUAAAGAAAAUUGUAACCGCAAGGCUGAUUACAGAAAGAACAUGCAUCAAAAUAUCAUAAGCCAAUCAUGAGCUAUAGUUUUGUAAUAUGUAUGAACUAAUUAUUGACACUAUAUAUUUGCUAUUAAUCUAAAUAAAGCUGAGACUUGUCGAUCAUCAUCGGAUGUGGCUUGUCUCCCGUUGUUUUCCGACAAUUUUAGCUGGCUGCCAUCCAUUUGCUGGCCCAUAGCCUUUGACAGAAAGUGUCCCUUCUCCAUGGGCAUGCCAAUUCACCCUCCCCUGUUCCUGAUGUGAUUUUGUAGGAGGCAUUUGGCACUCCAAGUUAGACAUGUAAGUGUUGUCUCUGCCAGCUUUUGCCAGCCCUGUAAGCCUGAUUCCCUUCCCUUUCUGCAGCAUGUGUCUGUCCUGGUCCUAGGAUUUGUGCAUGCUUUGAAAAGGAAUGUUUCAUUUAGCAUUGAUCAUGGGCAUUGCUGAGCAAUUGUGUCUGUGUCUUCUUUCACACAUGAACUCUUCACCACUCGAUGGGGACUCUCCCAGACAUUUUAUGAUUGAAAUCUGUUCACCCAUGAGUGAAGAACACAAAGGGCAAGAGGUGUUUCUGCUUGUCCUGUUUUUUUUAAGGUGUAGGUGAAGUCUAAUCUCCAGUACUCUCUGCCGUGCAGCUCCUUUGGCCCGUCCCACAGUCCUUGAAGUAAGCACGUGUAAAAGCUGGGCCAAGUUUCCCUGCACAGUUUUAGUUUGUCUGUUGCAGCCCUGAGCAGGUGUCUAAAAUAAGUAAAAACCCCCUGGUGCCUCCGUCUCCCCCCUGGGCAGGGAUGCAGGGGCAGCAGCACCCCUGAAACGAUGUCCCAAACGGAGAGCCUUCCCAGGCCCCUGGAGAAGAGCUUGUGAAAAGUGCAUAUUAUAUGGCUCUACACAAGAUAUUUACUCUAUGUGUUGUGUUGUGUUAAUUGUUAAUGUUGUAUUAAUAUUUUGAUAGUGUAGUAAAUGUAGUUUUGUAGUUAAAAUGUAGUUUUUAUGUACCAACCACCGGAAAAUGUAAAUCUUUGAAAGAAAGAAAGAAUUUACUACUUCCUUAUCAGAAGAGACCAGCUCCUCCUGCUUCUCUCAGCCUGGUGGAUGCCAUAGAGAUUAAAGGAAAAAAGUGAUACUAACCAUAGACAAUUCUUUGUUUGAAUAGAAUUUAUAUAUAUGCAUCAUGUAUAAAUUGUAUGAAUAUUGAACAGGCUAUUGCUUUUAAGAGAUAAUCCUUUGUUAACAGGAGUCCUUCUCCAGAGCUUGUGGCUCGGGAGAGGCACCCAGACGUCUGUAACUUUGUUUUUAUUGUCUUGUAUUGUCCUAAGUCUAAAACUGUUCAAUUUUUUUACUCUAAUUCUAUUAUUAUAACCAUCUUAUUUACUAUUAAACUUUUAAAAUUUUAA